UUUUUUUUUUUUUUUUUUUUUUUUUUUUUUUUUUUUUUUUUUGAGACAGAGUCUUGCUCUGUCACCCAGGCUGGAGUGCAGUGGCACAAUCUCGGCUCACUGCAAACUCCGCCUCCCGGGUUCAUGCCAUUCUCCUGCCUCAGCCUCUCCGAGUAGCUGGGACUACAGGCGCUCGCCACCACGCCCGGCUAAUUUUUUGUAUUUUUAGUAGAGACGGGGUUUCACCGUGGUCUCGAUCUCCUGACCUCGUGAUCCGCCCGCCUCGGCCUCCCAAAGUGCUGGGAUUACAAGCGUGAGCCACCGCGCCCGGCAGAGACAGAGUUUCGCUCUGUCACCCAUGCUGGAGUGCAGUGGCCUCAUCUUGGCUCCCUGAAACUUCCGCCUCCCAGGUUCAAGCCAUUCUCCUGCCUCAGCCUCCCGAGCAGCUGGGACUACAGACGCGCACCACCAUGCCCGGCUAAUUUUUGUAUUUUUAGUAGAGACGGGGUAUCACCAUGUUGGCCAGGCUGGUCUCGAGUUCCUGACCUCAGGUGAUCCACCCACCACGGCCUGCCAAAGUGCUGGGAUUACAGGCGUGAGCCACCGCACCCGGUCACACCUUUGCAUCUCUAGCCAAGAUUCGUAGUCAGAAGACACAAAACCAGACUUGGAAUUCCUGAUUUAGGGUUGAAAUGGCCUCAAGCCUGGGAAUACAUGCAGAUACCUAAGGAUUGGAAUUCCGCCCAGGACGACCCUCAAAGGGAAGUUCACAUUUCAGACCUACGGUGUGUGCAGAGCUCAGGCCCCAGGAACUUGGGGACAGAGGUGCCUUCUCGCUUCUCUCUGAAUCUGUGUCUGAGGUGAGAGAGGCGUGGCCCUGGUGGCCUUUUUAAUUUCAGGUUGGUUUCCAAGAAAGCAAUGACAGCUCGUGAUUUCUUCUUUCUCACGUGUGCCAUUCUCUGUUCGGUUGCCAAGGAAGUGGAAAAAAUUGGUUUUGCUUACCUAAAAAGGUUCAGAUCUCAUGCAAUUUUUGAUUCUGGGCAACUCCAAUUUGGAAUAAUUCAGACACAAUGAUUGACAGGCCAGGCUGCUACUCAUAGAAGGUCUGUCUGCAGAACAUGAGAAGAACAGGUGCCGGCAGGCUUCCAAGUGAAAGGAACACCAUUUUCACUUCAAUUAUUUAUCCCUGCUUGAAUGUGUAACAUCGUCAAA